rnacentral:tRNA from 1 species
AUUUAAAUAGUUUAAGAAAAACUUUAGUUUGUGGAACUAAAUAUAUAUAUUGAAUAUAUUUUAAAUU